GGCCUGGCCGAGACAGGCAGCUCCUCAAGGCCAGUGGCCAGUCCUCCGGCCACAGCCAGGUCACCGAGAGCAGCGGCUCCACACCCGAGUCCUGCCCAGAGCUCUCCGAUGAGGACGAGGACGGCAGCUUCGUUCCCGGCACCUCUCCGCCAUGCUGAGCUCCACGGUGCGAGCUGGGCACACACCAGCCCCGGGCCUCCUGCAGAGUCCCCGCUCAUGGUUCCUGCUCUGGGUGUUCCUGGCGCGUCAGCUGUUUAUCAACUGCAUCCUCAAAUAAGAGCCGCUUGGCAGUGAGGACGUCACCUGCAGAACUCCUGGCCAGCCCCAGACCCUCCCUCCCAGGCACCCAGCACUUUAAGUCGGCCCAGGGAGGCAGAGAGGCCCGGCAAGCACAGACACUGUGACGGAGGGGCCCACGGUGCAGACAGGACAGGACAGCAGGAGGGACCUGGGGGCUGCGGGACACUACGGCCUGCUUGUGCUGGGCCCCACAUGGGGGACCCUGGCCUCACCUGCAGGGCCUUCCGCCCAGGCCGGCCUUAAUGCUAAAGCCAAAUGCAGCUUUUAUUGUGCGAGGCGCUCCCUGGUCAUCACGCCUGGCCGUCCCCGGUCCAGUCUCCACUUGCCUCGUGGGAUUGAUGGAUCUGGGGGCUGGGAAGGCCUGCCCAGGCUCUGGGUGGUGGUCAUACCCAUGCCACAGUGAGUGGGAAGGUUUCAAGGAGCAAACCAGGAGCCCGGAGUGGCCCAGGGCCCCCCAGGAGUCGCGGGGCUCAGAUGCCCUGAUGCCUAUGCCCUCCUUCCUGAGACCCUGCCGGGGCUGCCAGGUUACCCAGGAGGGGCAUCAGGAACAGGCUAGGGCCACUCUGUUGAGGAUGCAGGGGAUUAUUCUACCACUGGACAGGAGUGCAGUGUAGGUAGGUACUGGGACACUCCCCGCCUGCUUGUGUGGGUACAGGUGGAGGUGGCUGGGUGUGAGUGAGCGUGCGCAGGGGGGCGGUGGUGUGCACAGGGUUGGCUGAGCCUGCCCAGCGUCCCCUUGGUCAGGGAGGCUCAAGCUUGUCACUUUGCUCAGACCAACACAUAGUCUUCCUGUUUUACACUUUUUUAAUAAACAUAAUUGCAAUAUUUUAGGUGGGCUGCUAGCAAAAGUACGCCUCCGGCCUCAGUCCCUCUGUGUGCGUGCGUGCGUGUGCACGCAUCGACACGUACAUCUACACAUACGGAGCCUUAAACUACGCCGUGGUGGUGCCCUGAGCUAGAACUGAUCGUUUUCAUUCCACGAUUUUUGUAUCCAUGUUCUUGUCUCUCCCCCUCCUCCGGUUGGGGACUCGUCAGUGCUCCAUGCCUUGAAAUAAACGGACAGACAUG